rnacentral:rRNA from 1 species
GUGAACGCUGGCGAUAGGCCUAACACAUGCAAGUCGAACGGCAGCACAGUAAGAGCUUGCUCUUACGGGUGGCGAGUGGCGGACGGGUGAGGAAUACAUCGGAAUCUACUUUUUCGUGGGGGAUAACGUAGGGAAACUUACGCUAAUACCGCAUACGACCUACGGGUGAAAGCAGGGGAUCUUCGGACCUUGCGCGAUUGAAUGAGCCGAUGUCGGAUUAGCUAGUUGGCGGGGUAAAGGCCCACCAAGGCGACGAUCCGUAGCUGGUCUGAGAGGAUGAUCAGCCACACUGGAACUGAGACACGGUCCAGACUCCUACGGGAGGCAGCAGUGGGGAAUAUUGGACAAUGGGCGCAAGCCUGAUCCAGCCAUACCGCGUGGGUGAAGAAGGCCUUCGGGUUGUAAAGCCCUUUUGUUGGGAAAGAAAAGCAGCAGGUUAAUACCCCGCUGUUCUGACGGUACCCAAAGAAUAAGCACCGGCUAACUUCGUG